rnacentral:rRNA from 1 species
CACGUAGGGGGCAAGCGUUGUCCGGAUUUAUUGGGCGUAAAGAGCUCGUAGGCGGUUUCGUAAGUCGGAUGUGAAAACUCCAGGCUCAACUUGGAGACGCCAUUCGAUACUGCGAUGACUUGAGUCCGGUAGGGGAGUGUGGAAUUCCUGGUGUAGCGGUGAAAUGCGCAGAUAUCAGGAGGAACACCGGCGGCGAAGGCGGCACUCUGGGCCGGUACUGACGCUGAGGAGCGAAAGCGUGGGGAGCGAACAGG